rnacentral:rRNA from 1 species
GAUGAACGCUGGCGGCGUGCCUAAUACAUGCAAGUCGAGCGAAUGGAUUAAGAGCUUGCUCUUAUGAAGUUAGCGGCGGACGGGUGAGUAACACGUGGGUAACCUGCCCAUAAGACUGGGAUAACUCCGGGAAACCGGGGCUAAUACCGGAUAACAUUUUGAACCGCAUGGUUCGAAGUUGAAAGGCGGCUUCGGCUGUCACUUAUGGAUGGACCCGCGUCGCAUUAGCUAGUUGGUGAGGUAACGGCUCACCAAGGCAACGAUGCGUAGCCGACCUGAGAGGGGGAUCGGCCACACUGGGGAUGAGACACGGCCCAGACUCCUACGGGAGGCAGCAGUAGGGAAUCUUCCGCAAUGGACGAAAGUCUGACGGAGCAACGCCGCGUGAGUGAUGAAGGCUUUCGGGUCGUAAAACUCUGUUGUUAGGGAAGAACAAGUGCUAGUUGAAUAAGCUGGCACCUUGACGGUACCUAACCAGAAAGCCACGGCUAACUACGUGCCAGCCGCCGCCGUAA